rnacentral:ncRNA from 1 species
AAAUAAAAUUUUUAUGUUUUAAGAAAUUUAUUUGAUACUUAUUUUACAUAUAAAUUUUAGUAUGUAAUUAUGAUUAUUUUAAUAAUAAUUAUAAUUUAUAGUAGUAAUUAAUUUUAAUAAUUUAAGAAAUUAUGAAUUAGUAAUGUAUUAAUUAUUAACAAAUUUUGUGCCAGCAGUUGCGGUUAUACAAAAAAUAAAAUAAAUUUUAUUAGUUAUAAAUAAAUAUUAAAGGAAUUAUAAUAAAUAUUAGAUUAUUAGGUGAAAUUUUAAUUUAAUUAAAAUUUAAUUUGUGAAAUUAUGAUUUUAAAAAUUUUAUGAAAAACUAGGAUUAGAUACCCUAUUAUUAAAAUUUAAAAUAAAAUGCUAAAAUAGUAAAUAAUUAUUUGUUGAAACUUAAAUAAUUUGGCGGUAUUUUAGUUUAUUUAGAGGAAUCUGUUUAAUAAUUGAUAAUCCACGAAUAAAUUUACUUAAUUUAAUAAUUUAUAUAUCGUUGUUAAAAAAAUAUUUAAAAAUAAAAAUAAUAUUUUAAAAUUUUAAUUUAAAAUUAAAUCAGAUCAAGAUGUAGUUUAUAAUUAAGAAUAUAAUGGAUUACAAUAAAUUUAUUUAAAUGAAUUUAAAAUUGAAAAAUUUUAUUGAAAGUGGAUUUAAAUGUAAUUUUGUUUAAUUUAAUAAAAUGAUUAAAAAUUAAAAUAUGUACAUAUUGCCCGUCGCUUUCAUUUACAAAUUGAAAUAAGUCGUAACAAAGUAGAGGUACUGGAAAGUGUUUCUAGAAAGAU